ACGGGUGAGUAACACGUAGGUAACCUGCCUGUAAGAUCGGGAUAACUAUCGGAAACGAUAGCUAAGACCGGAUAGCUGGUAUCUCCGCAUGGAGGAAUCAUGAAACACGGAGCAAUCUGUGGCUUACAGAUGGGCCUGCGGCGCAUUAGCUAGUUGGUAGGGUAACGGCCUACCAAGGCGACGAUGCGUAGCCGACCUGAGAGGGUGAACGGCCACACUGGGACUGAGACACGGCCCAGACUCCUACGGGAGGCAGCAGUAGGGAAUCUUCCGCAAUGGACGCAAGUCUGACGGAGCAACGCCGCGUGAGUGAUGAAGGUUUUCGGAUCGUAAAGCUCUGUUGCCCUAGACGAACAGCAUGAGGAGUAACUGCCUUGUGUGUGACGGUAUAGGAGAAGAAAGCCCCGGCUAACUACGUGCCAGCAGCCGCGGUAAUACGUAGGGGGCAAGCGUUGUCCGGAAUUAUUGGGCGUAAAGCGCGCGCAGGCGGUUCAUUAAGUUGGGUGUUUAAGCCCGGGGCUCAACUCCGGUUCGCAUCCGAAACUGGUGAACUUGAGUGUAGGAGAGGAAAGUGGAAUUCCACGUGU
rnacentral:rRNA from 1 species